rnacentral:rRNA from 1 species
UACGGGGGGGGCAAGCGUUGUUCGGAAUUACUGGGCGUAAAGGGCGCGUAGGCGGCCCGCUUAGUCGGACGUGAAAUCCCUCGGCUCAACCGGGGAACUGCGUCUGAUACUGGGCGGCUUGAAUUCGGGAGAGGAAUGCGGAAUUCCAGGUGUAGCGGUGAAAUGCGUAGAUAUCUGGAGGAACACCGGUGGCGAAGGCGGCAUUCUGGACCGACAUUGACGCUGAGGCGCGAAAGCCAGGGGAGCAAACGGG